UGGUGGAGUGAUUUGUCUGGUUAAUUCCGAUAACGAACGAGACUCUAGCCUGCUAAAUAGUCACUACGUAACAAUUGCGUAGCCUGACUUCUUAGAGGGAUUCGCUACUUUUAGUGGCACGAAAAUAGAGCAAUAACA
rnacentral:rRNA from 1 species